UACGGGUAUAUCCCUACUGAAAGACCGGUUCUCUUCUGGCAACUGAAGUUAAGCAACGACGAACCUGGUCAGUACCUAGAUGGGUGACCUCUCGGGAAUACUCGUUGCUGUAA